UUCGCAAUGACCGAAAGGGUGACGAAGCCACGCCGCGUGUGGGAAGAAGGCCUUCGGGUUGUAAACCACUGUCGGGAGUUAAGCACAGCAAGGAUAUGAAUAGUGUCUUUGCUCACCUAAGGCUCCGGAGGAAGCCACGGCUAACUCUGUGCCAGCAGCCGCGGUAAUACAGAGGCGGCAAGCGUUGUGAUUCGGAAUUAUUCAGCGUAAAGAGCACGUAGGCACAUAUGUAAGUCGGUUGUGAAAGCACACCGCUCAACGGGAGAACAGCAUCCGAUACACAAUGGCUUGAGUGCGGGAGGGGAGAGUGGAACUUCUGGUGGAGCGGUGAAAUGCGUAGAUAUCAGAAGGAACGCCGGCGGCGAAAGCGGCUCUCUGGCCCAUAACUGACGCUGAGUGUGCGAAAGCUAGGGCACCAAACGGGAUUAGAUACCCCGGUAGUCCUAGCCGUAAACGAUGGGCACUAAGUAGAGGGGUA
rnacentral:rRNA from 1 species